ACGGUGGUAGACGGCCAAUUCAUUUGUACUGGGAGGUUAAGCUGCCAACCCCUCCCAGUCCGAACUGAUUGGACGUCUAUUCCCGUCGAAGACACCUAAAAAAUUGAUACUGUAUUUGUAAUUGUGAACUCCUGUGACGUCAUCACUACUGGACCAUACCCGACAACUUUGGCGCCAUCGUCAGUUUGUGGAAACUAGUGGAACCCACGUUUACAACAGAUGUUGAUCAUAAGGUCAAUUUAUGACCACAAAUUUCAUUUUGGACAAACAAAACAUUUGCUAUUUGGAGAAAAAGACGAGCGAUAGCAUCAUUUUGAUGCUAGUGGAAACAUGCAGUAUUACCAGUUCCGAGGCUAUGAGAUGAAGGUACUUGGAGAGCUCCAGAGACAACAAAACAGUGCCCAGUUCUGUGAUACACUUUUGCAAACUGAAGGUAUCUCAGUGCCCACUCACAGCUGUUUACUAGCGGCUGUUAGUCCUUUCCUGUCAAAGAAGCUAGCAGCCAUACCAUCUCCUGCAUUUGGGCAAAAACGUAUGCUCCGGCUUCAGUCUUUAAAGGCCCACACCCUGUUGAAGCUAGUCAGUCUACUCUACUCGGGGAAGUUGGAGGUAAAGGGAAGUUUGGAACAUAAAGAUGUGAUGGCUGCUGUCCAGAUGUUUGGGAUCGCAUCCUUCAUAGAAAGACAGACAAAUGAAGCCACAAAGGAAGUGGAACCCAAAGAUGUUCAAGUCGGGAGUUGCUGUAAAUGCACGUUAACAGGUGCAAACAGAGACGGGGCUGAAUGUCUGCUCAUGAAAGAUCCACUAUUGCAAGCGGAGGUGGUUAGAAGGAAAGAUAGAGAUCGUUCACUGGAAAAGAGAACAUGUGUAUCCAUUGGGACACAAACUUUAUUUGAGAAUCAAAAUGAUUCUCCAACCCCAGAGCAUAUCACAUUUCAAUCCAAAGACAUCCCAUUGGACAUGUGUGAGUCUAGUUCACACCACACUUCUACUUCUAGAACUAAUUCAUUAUCAGAUGAAGUGUUCAGCAACUGGACUUGUAGUUCCAAUAAUGACACUUCCUUCUCUCAGAGGCUUCAGCAUGGAUGUUUUGAUUCCAUUGGCAGUGCUGAUGUGCUGUCUCAAACAAAUGACAGGAGUAAAGCAAGUGCAGAUGAAGAAAGGAAGGUGCCAGAAGAUGAAAACGCAAAUACAACAAAGAGAAGGCCUGCAAUGGCCGAGGUAGCAAAGAAGAACCUGGCCAAGAUGAAACUGAACCAGUCAACACAAUUUUCUCUUAAGGUGAAGCUGAGAAGGAGGGCAAAGGAACAACUAUGGGAGGUUGUGUCCCUACAAGAUGAGGAUGAGACGGUCUCAGUGUUUGCUUCAUUGUCUCAGGAAGCUGACCCAGCUACAGCUAUGACAUCACAUAACCAUAUUACACAAACUCGACCCACCGAUUCUACUCAACCUCCAUCCCAUCCCAAUACCACAUCUGAACCAUUACGUCACUUGACUGUCACACACCAAAAUGGAACGUUCCAAUCAGCACCUCUUCCGCAGCCUUCGAGCCAUGUUCAAGAAUCUGAUGAGGAGAUAGAGAAGAUGUUGGACGACAUCAUAAUGCGUCUGAACAUCCUGCCUGACAUGGGAGAUCCAGAGAAUGGAAAUGGGGAGCAAAGUCCCCAUAUCUCAACAUACACAGCCCACGACCAGCUCAACUGCAAAAAUGUACCCUUGGUUGAUCCUAGUGAUGUAAUAAUCGCAGAGCAACCCUCUCUUCAAGAUGGCUCACCUGUGACAUCAAUAGUACAAACAGGAUUCCAGGAGGGCCAACCCUCCUUUUCGAUUUCGCCACCUUGUUUGAAUGAUUUAAGACUUCCUAAAUGCCUCUCGCCGAUAGACCCAUUAAUUUCAGAAGGAAGUGAUGACCCAAUCACUAACGAUCAUCCGUUGACUUUCUGCCCAGAACCCUUGCUCACAGAACAGUCAGGGUCCCUAGUUUUUCCACUCACUCAUGGAGAAGAUAAACAGUCUUCUUUAUUGAAGACAAGUCAAAACUGCAGGCCAAUGCAAUGCCUAAAACAGCCGGAGUUACAGCAAAGCUCAAACUGUUCGGAACCUAAUAGCAAAAACAGGGUGGUCGUAUAUCGCACUGCUGCAGAAAGGAAGUCUUACCCCAAGAAUAUUAACAGUACUUUAGUACGUAAAAAAAGUACAACAACGGAUUGUAAUGUACCUCCUAAAAAAAGGAAAGUGUGCUUUGAUUACACGCAAGAUGCUACUGGUUCAAUCUGUGAUGGAAUUCAAAAUAAAACAAAUCUGAGAAUUUGUUCUGUUAGUUUAUCACAAAAUAACAAACUGGGAAAAAAAAGAAAAUUGACUAUGGGUUCCCAAAUAUCACCAGCCAUUUGUUCAGGAAAACGGAACCAACAUUCAAUUAUAAAUGAAAAAUUUGUCAAUAUUUGCCAAACCCGUAUCAAGACCAAGGGGUUUCUGAAAACAACUCAAGUGCCACCAAAUGACACAUACAUACGAAGUAUCUCAGAUUCAAACUCUGAGAUCAAUUCACUGACUUUUGAAUCAAACCAAGAACCUUUCAAAGAGAAGAGAGGCAAACUAAAAAAACGUAAACUUAAAGCAAGUUCGCAUCUAAAUGGUGGCCCUCCAAUCAUUUCAAAAAAUGAAAAAAAGGAUCUAAUAAAAAAGGAAUUAUUAAAGAGAAACUUGAAAAAAACUCUUAAAAUGAAAGUAAAAAAGCCAAAAAAGAAUGCAAAAGCUGGGAAGGAGUUGGUACCACAGCAAAGUAUCAAAACCACUCCUCAGGCAGAUGAAGUCAAUCCAGGUUGCCCUUUAAUCCACAGCCAGGCAUAUGCCACCAGUUCACUGAAGAGCCCAGAAUGCAGUCAAGAAGAUAUCAUUGAUGUCGACUCUCCUCUCUCAUCCCCGCAUAAAAUACCUGUCAUCAGUGAAUCCGAGCUUGUAUUCAGUGAAACUACACAAAGUGAAGAGGAAGACAUUAAUGUGAUUGACUGAUGUUUGAAUGUUUGUAUACUUUUUGUGUGUUGCAAUGCAUGUAAAGUGUUUUUUUCCCCUGUUGUUUAAGUUCUGUGUAAGUUGGCACACAACAAUCUCACAUAUUUACUUUAUAUCUGAUCUCCUAAAUAACAAUGUGCUCAAGCAGGUAAACUGUUGCUUGUGUUGUAUUUGGUUUAUGGUUGUAAAUCUUUUUGUACAAAAAUACAGUAUGUUGAAAAAAAUUACAAAACAUGCUUAGGUAGUUUUCUGUUAUUGUUAAAGACCUAAUAUUGAUGUCAUUGCUUGAGGUAUUUAUUUUUAUUCAUUUAUUUAUUUAUUGGUCUCGCCGUACAGAACAUACUUUCCACCACUGUAGAGGGCGCACUGUCCCUACUCAUCGACGUCUACUCUUGAAUUCUUUCUUGACAUCGGAAGCGGUGGCGGAAACUGCAUACACGUGUAUGCUUGUGACUUGAAGGUUACUCCAUAGAUUUAGCGGCUUCUCAGUGAACAAGUCAUCAGGACGGUGUGGUUGCAGUCAGUAAGCCUGUGGCCAGCUCUGACACAUACUCAUGGAUCCCAUGAAAGCGCAGCAACUGGCGGCGGAGCUGGAAGUGGAGAUGAUGGCUGAUAUGUACAACCGGUAAAGACGAGAUAAGCUAACAAUGACCAACGCCUGCCACAGAAAGUGUGUGCCCCCUCAUUACAAAGAGGCAGAGCUGACGAAAGGCGAGUCUGUGUGCCUGGACCGCUGCGUGGCCAAAUAUCUAGACCUCCACGAGAGGCUAGGACGCAAGCUAACAGAACUAUCU